rnacentral:rRNA from 1 species
CCUACGGGGGACAGCAGUGAGGAAUAUUGGUCAAUGGACGAGAGCCUGAACCAGCCAAGUAGCGUGAGGGAUGACUGCCCUACGGGUCGUAAACCUCUUUUGCACGGGAAUAACACGCUCCACUUGUGGAGUUCUGCAUGUACCAUGCGAAUAAGGACCGGCUAAUUCCGUGCCAGCAGCCGCGGUAAUACGGAGGGGCCGAGCGUUAUCCGGAUUCAUUGGGGUUAAAGGGAGCGUAGGUGGAGUGUCAAGUCAGCUGUGAAAGUGUGCGGCUCAACCGGAGACGUGCAGGUGAAACGGGCAGUCUUGAGUACAGAAGAGGUAGGCGGAAUUCGUGGUGUAGCGGUGAAAUGCAUAGAUAUCACGAGGAACCCCGAUUGCGAAGGCAGCUCACUGGGGUGCGACUGACGCUGAGGCUCGAAGGUGUGGGUAUCAAACAGGAUUAGAUACCCUUGUAGUC